CUUUAGUUUCCAACAAGUUAUGCCGGCGACUCUAGGGAGGACCUUCCGGGGUCAAACCGGAGGAAGGUGGGGAUGACGUCCAAUCCUCAAGGCCCUUAAGGCCAGGGCUACACACGUGGUACCAAGGGCCGGUACACAAGGGUUACGAACCCGCGAAGGGGGCCAAUUCCCUAAAACACGUCGGCAGUUUGGAGUCUGCAAACUCGAGGCUUCCAUGAAGUUCGGAUG
rnacentral:rRNA from 1 species